AUGUCUAGGUUUUUAUUCUCACCACCUUAUGUCACUGCCAGGGGUGGAAGUACAGGACUCUCACGUCCCAGAGGAAGGUGGGCGUGACUUGCAGGCCAGGAAAAGCAGGGGCCCAGAGAGUCCAUCAUUCUGUGUCUUGAGGUCAUGCCAUGUUGAGUCAGUUGGUUAGAGCUGGUGAACCUGAGAUGCUGCUCUGAGAAAAGGAAAAAAAAAAGAAAAAAGGGAGAGAGCAGUGGCCACGUGGAGUGGAGCCCAGCUGAGCUAUGUGGACCCCAAGCUGCAGCCACAAUAACUGCAGCUGGAGCUGCAGCCAUAGCCCAAGCUGCAGCCAGAGCAUUCCAGUCCUGCUCCCACAAGGUCAGGCCCAGGAAGAGAGUCCCCAGCCUGUUUCAGAACUCUCUCAGGUCCCACCAGCUUUUGUCUUGUCCCUGUUUUUCUGUUGUUUUUCAUGCUGGUUAACUGGAAAGUUAACCAUGCUGGGCACUGUCUUUGCAAAGUGUCUUUCUUUAUUUGGUGGGUAAAAUACUCUCUCUUUUAUAUACUCUUUUAUUAAUGUUGUUGUGGUUAUUACUAUUUUUCAAUAAAUAGUGAUUAUAUCUUGUA